CCUACGGGGAGCUGCAGUGGGGAAUAUUGCACAAUGGGCGCAAGCCUGAUGCAGCGACGCCGCGUGCGGGAUGGAGGCCUUCGGGUUGUAAACCGCUUUUGUUCAAGGGCAAGGCACGGUCUUUGGCCGUGUUGAGUGGAUUGUUCGAAUAAGCACCGGCUAACUACGUGCCAGCAGCCGCGGUAAUACGGGGGAUGCAAGCGUUAUCCGGAUUUAUUGGGUUUAAAGGGUGCGUAGGCUGUGAGGUAAGUCAGCGGUGAAAUGCCCCCGCUCAACGGGGUGAAGUGCCAUUGAUACUGCCUUGCUGGAAUGCGGAUGCCGUGGGAGGAAUGUGUGGUGUAGCGGUGAAAUGCAUAGAUAUCACACAGAACACCGAUUGCGAAGGCAUCUCACGAAUCCGCGAUUGACGCUGAUGCACGAAAGCGUGGGUAUCAAACAGGAUUAGAUACCCGGGUAGUC
rnacentral:rRNA from 1 species